UUUACAGAAAAAGAAAAGCUAUUUAUUGUAGGGGUGAACGCUCCAGAGACAGUCGUCCUCGGCACUCUGUUCUCAGGUGCAGAGAUGGCGGACAGGAGCCCGGAAACUAGGGGAAAUAGGCCAGGCUUUAUCAGAACAUCAUUGCUCCGUGGGAGGUGCCUGGGAGCAGGUCCAGCUGAGCCUGGACUCCCGGUACUCAGAGGCUUGAGCCAAGAGGAUAGUGAAUUUGAGAGCAGCCCAGGCUUUGCAGGAGUUCUGGUCACUUUGUGAUACAUGAUCAGAAGUGACUCAAAAAACCAAAGGGUGGUGUAGUACUUGCCUAGCGUGUCCUGGGUUCAAAUCCUUGUCUCAAAAAAGAAAGAAAGAAAGAAAGAAAGAAAGAAAGAAAGAAAGAAAGAAAGAAAGAAGAAAGAAAAGGUACACACUUCUACUGAACAAUGUUGGGCAUUAAGGAACUACAGCGGUUUUUCCAUGGUUUGCCUAUUUGGGGGGAUGUGGGGGUUGAACCCUGGAGUAUAAGCACAUUAAGCUCAUGCUCUGCCAAGUUACACUGUGCUCCGUGCUCUAAAAGGAAAUAUCACUAACCUAGGAAGGUUAGCAUAGAGAUCUCUAACGGAUGCUUUGAAAUGUUUUUUUUUUAAUUACUAUAAAAUGUUUUCAAGGUCCUGCUAAGUAGUGCAGGCUAUCCUGGGAUUUGCCCAGGCCAGCCUCAAAAUCCUACGUAAUCAUAAUUCACACUUGGAAAACCGAGUCGCAAGCAGCUGAAGUAAUAUUCCCAUAUUUAUCAAGUUAGUAUGAGUAAGGACCCUGGACUUGAACUCAGGGCUUUCUGGGUGGCCACCUGGUGACACAGAAGCCACUGGAGGUGUUCCAGAUUAUCCCGAGGCCAGCAUGUAUGGGCAUGUAUGGCUAAGGCUACGCUACAAAGAGGCCGUCCGCUCUGAUUCACAGGUGAACUCACCUUGCCUUAUCUUCUGUGAGGUAACAAGUGGACAAAUACCUUCAGACGGCUCCACAUGACACAUACAAACAAACCAGCUAUGGCAUGCGGAGCCGGGCAGACUAGAGCACCGGCUCUCCCCACUCUCUUACACAAAGCUCUUUUUGUGACAUCACAGUGCUGCGUCAGCGGAGACACUCUCUGGAAACAAACUGACACCAUUAAACCCAUCUCCGUAAGUUCUCCUGGCCGCACGGAUGCUCUGAUCUAAGAUCAAAACCUCUCUCUCCUGUUGACUCUGGGGACUUUAAGCCUUUUAUUCGCUUUGCCUCCCACACCUGUAAAAAGCUGGCUUUGUCAAAAGCUCAGAACGCCUGCACACUCAGUUCACAAUUUCUGUUCCUGUGGGCAACCUGUCCCAUUGGUCUCUACUCCUAAGUAAAACUCAAGACGGAUUAGUCUCACUACUGUUUGUUGUUGCUGCUGCUGCUGCUGUUUUGAGACAGGGUUUGGGGUAUACUGGGCGAGCCUGGAACUCGAUAGGGAGCUGACGUGAUCUCCAACUCCUGGUCUUCCAGAAGCUGGGGCUGUAGGAGAGCUCGCCAUACCCAGGGCCUUCCUCCGACAUCUCCACCACUAUGUGACCGGCUUCGAUAGGUGGUUCUGGCUGUCCCGGCACUUCCUGUGAAGACAAGGCUAACGUCAAGCUCGGAGCAAUUCUCCUUCCUUGGCCUUCCGUGCCAGAAUUACAGGUGUGGGACACCA
rnacentral:sRNA from 1 species